rnacentral:misc_RNA from 1 species
GCAAAAAUAGAAUCAAUGAAGACACUACAGCCCACAACAGGUUCCGUAUCCAAGUGUCCAAACGACGCUCCAAGGGCCAUGCCAACGAUGCGAGCACAACGAGAACAUGGACCGCAGAGACCGUUUCGAGGUUCGUUCAACGCCGCAAGCGACGCAUCACGAAAGGGGCUUUGAUCAAACCAAACGAUGCCAUCGAUUAGGUAUGCAACACACGAAACCCACCACAUGCCCAAGGCAAAUGAAGCCUUGUAGCACAACUGAAGAGGUAAGAACGCGUAGAAGGUGCUGCUCAAGCAGAUCACCAACCACCCGUAACAAACCAAACACCACUCAUGCACCUUUACGGACAUCAUCCCCGAAGACCACCCAACUUACAGCCACCCCCUUGGCACCAAGGCCAAGAAAA